rnacentral:piRNA from 1 species
UGGUAGGCAACAGUAGCUUGAUGUAUCC